CCUCCCUUCUCCACUCUUCACCUCAGAAAGUUAUGGAACUGUACCUUAGAAAGUUAUGGAACUGUACUAAAAUGGGAAAUAAAUAAGCUCCAAUGGGGAAUAGUGAAUGAUAGAAAUGUUUGGAUGAUUCACAGUGGUAGUCAAGAAUCCCCUAUGACCUUGGUAGAUAUAUGUUAGAAUAAUUUCGCAUGAAGGUUAGUAAAAGACUUAAUAAAC
rnacentral:lncRNA from 1 species